rnacentral:rRNA from 1 species
CACGUAGGGGGCAAGCGUUGUCCGGAUUUAUUGGGCGUAAAGAGCUCGUAGGCGGUUCGGUAAGUCGGGUGUGAAACCUCCAGGCUCAACCUGGAGACGCCACCCGAUACUGCUGUGACUAGAGUCGGGUAGGGGAGACUGGAAUUCCUGGUGUAGCGGUGAAAUGCGCAGAUAUCAGGAGGAACACCGGUGGCGAAGGCGCACACCUGGCCCGAUACUGACGCUGAGGCGCGAAAGCUAGGGGAGCAAACGGG